GCGGGCAUAGCAUAAUGGUAAUGUCCUAGCCUUCCAAGCUAGUCAUGCGGGUUCGAUUCCCGCUGCCCGCU
rnacentral:tRNA from 1 species